UACGGAGGGUGCAAACGUUGCUCGGAAUCACUGGGCGUAAAGCGCACGUAGGCGGCCUUGCAAGUUGGAUGUGAAAGCCCUGGGCUCAACCCAGGAAGUGCAUCCAAAACUGCUUGGCUUGAGUGCCGGAGGGGUUCAGAGAAUUCCCGGUGUAGAGGUGAAAUUCGUAGAUAUCGGGAGGAAUACCAGUGGCGAAGGCGCUGAACUGGACGGUAACUGACGCUGAGGUGCGAAAGCGUGGGUAGCAAAC
rnacentral:rRNA from 1 species